ensembl:lncRNA
AUGCAUGUUUUUUGCCUACAUUAUGUGAUGCUGCCUCGGAUCAACAUGCACCUGGAUCUGUUCCAGAGAACAUGGGAUCAACACCCUCUCUCCUCUGAGGGAAACCGUUCUCCACAGCAGCUGUGUAUAGGAGGCCAGCUUCUAACAACAGAGACCCCAAAUGAUCCAACUGAUUUCACCUACUGGGGGGUAGAUUGGGAUGGUCCUGUGCCACAGCCAGAAGAUGUGCAGAGUGUUGAAAUCCCGGAAUCGCUCACUUGUCUCCAGGACUUGUUCCUGGCUGUGCUUAAUGAGAGUAUUGAUCGAUUGAUGAGCAGCAUUUCCUUUGGUACAGACAUAUACCAAGAGGCUGUAAGACUGUGUGAGGCAGUUCAGUUGACCUCUUAGUCACGUUGGUUUUUGAUUGGUGUAAUUUUGCAACCUUUAAGGAUUACUUGUAAAUAGUAAACAGUAAUUCAGAACAAGCCAUGUUGGUUUGUAUACAAAGUAUUAUGUCAUGUGGACAAAUUUUAAAUAGGCACAAAAUUAAAAAAAAUGGUCUUUUUGGGGUGGGGGGUUUGCAUAACCGCUAGCUGUGAAAGCAUGCAAACGUUGUUUUUUUUUUUUUUUCUAACUACUACCGUUUUGUUCAUUUGUGUAAAUACUUCGUUUUUAUUAGAAAGCAGUAGGGAGAGGAUGACAUCUUUGUAUUUGAAUUUAGCUUUUUAUGUUAGGGAGUGAGGUAAGGGGUGUGUGUGUGUGUGUUUUUUUUUUGUUUGUUUUUAUGGGUCAUUUGAUGCUAACACCGGUCACUUAGAAAGGUUUGUUUAUGUUGGCCUGGGUCUCUCUUUUUUUUUUUUUUUGCUUCCUUUCUUUUGUUGCUGUUUUAUUUUAAUUUGACAUACACCUGUAGUUCUGCAAAAAAUGCACAAAUUACAUGCUAUUUGCACCAAUAUCUGUAAUAUUCAAUUUGCACUAAGUUAAAAUCAGCAGUAUUUUGCAGGGCAGUUAGGUGUUUUAUUUAUUUACUUAAACUGCAGUGGCUGAUAGUAUUUGCUCUUCUGUAUUGUAGUAUAUUAUAAAAUGGUGAAUAUGCUAUAUUUAUCAGAAUUAUUAAAUUGAUUAAUUGCUAAAUAUUUUUUAAUUGUUUUUUAAUGUUUUAUUGCUCAGUUGUAGGUGAACCUGUUAAUUAUAGCUUUUGCCCUGUUUUCUCUGUCUUUACAUACUUUAUAUUAUUAUUGCUGUAUGUCUAUUUUGUCACAGAAUCAGAAUCAGAAUGAGCUUUAUUGCCAGGUAUGUUUACACAUACGAGGAAUUUGUUUUCGUGACAGAAGCUCCGCAGUGCAACAGAAUGACAGCGACAGAACAAAAAACACACAAUAAAAGAAUAAAAAAUACAAAAAAUACA